rnacentral:tRNA from 1 species
GGGGUUGUGGCUCAGAGGUAGAGCGCUCGCCUAGCAUGUGCGAGGCCCUGGGUUCAAUCCUCAACACCACA